UUUAUUUCUAAUAGCUGGAGGAAAUCCAUACUGUGCAGACUCACAGGAGCAUGCAUCCUGUUGGGGAGUCCUCCUGUAUCAGUUACUGAAGAGACUGGAACAUUUGUCUUACAGAAGUUGCCAUAAUCUGGCUUUGAAUUACAGCUUCUUCAUGGGGUCGUAUUUCUCAGUCCCCUGUAUUCCUGUGAAACCAUCACCACCAUCAUCACCCUCACAUUACUCUCAAAUCAUCGCAAUGUUGUUGGAAAGCCAGUUGAGGCUGCAGUUUUUUCACCUACAACUUAAACAGAGCUGAUUGGUACUCUGUCAUAUACUGAAGACCAAGACAUAAAGAGCAUAGGAAGAACCCUUCAGAGAUCACACCGCAAGUGAGUAACAGCACCCCACCGUGAACCCCGCUCUGUCUGAUCACUAUACCAUGCUAUUGACCAAAGCUCCAGAAAGUUCCAGAAAAGAGGACAGGCCACAGCUGUGGGGAUCCCCGCAUGGCACUUCUGGAGGCAGUAGCAUUGUGUGUUAACAACUAAUCUUUAUUAAAUGCUUGUUCGAUGCCUGUUGUUACACUCCGAGCUUCAUGGGCAACCUUGCAUCGGAGCUUUGCCUCAGAGAAUGAGCAGGAUUUGGGCAUGUGGAAAUGGGGAUGGGCUGACAUUCUUUUUUGAAGAUUACAAAACAUUGUGCAUGUGCCUUGAAGCCCUGGGGAGGCAUCUGUGACUCAAACUGGAACAGGGCCCUCUAUAGCAGCCGUCUGUGCUGGAACACAGAAAGCAUGCCUCGCUCACACCCAGGUAUCUACUGCAUCCCUCUGUUCAUCCAAAAUUUCAUCCGAGCAAGAUUUAUCAAUUUCCUUCUUGGUCCCAGGCCCACACAUCUCAACCAUGUUUUCCACCCAACUCUACCUCGGGGAAACAUAGGCUAAUUAGCGAACAAGAUAAGCACCCAGUAAUUGAGGGAUGGGCCGACUGGACUAGUGAGAGGUGAAUGUACAUCAUGUUGCAACGGCGGCCAGCCACCCUACUCCUGUCAAAGGCAUGU